ensembl:lncRNA
GGGAUGACGUACUGUUCCAUGACUGACAGAAAAAAUGAGCCAAUCAUGACAGAAAACUGAGCCUAUUAGGCACAACACUGUAUUUUCUGCUGGCUAGCCCCACCACCACAGAAAACAAUGAGCUAGUCUGAAGCACCUGCAAUUUGGAGCUGCCUUACUCAAGAAAGCAAAAAAGAGACCAUGUUUCUAAGUCCCCUCCAGCACCAUGAUUAAGAGGGGAUGACUACUCCACUCCACUAUCAUUGUCAACUCUCGCCUGACAUUAACUGAAGCCACGUCUCACGUGCCACUCAUCCACCGGCACAUUGAAUGUUUCCCCUCCAAGCACUUCAAAUCCUGUCCUGCACUGAAGUCAAGACUCUGAACACCUCAACUCAUGCAUCAUACUCUCAUUCAAUCACAAUCCCUUCCCAACACUGUAUGCUGAACUGAGUCAGACCUGCAUGGGACGCCAGCGCGAACACAUACACACACACCCAUCACCCCCUCCUCUCUGAGACUCACAGCGUCCCUCCCCACUCCAAAAGAAGAGGCUAUAGGGAUGCUGGGCUGCCAGUCCAGCUGUCUCCAUCUGGCCAGCUCACUUGGCAGCAUGUGACACCACACAACUCAUGCCAAACUGUGUCCCAGCAGCUGGAGGGCCACAGCAAAAACCAAUCAACAAACAGAACAGCAUCGGUCUCACUGUUGCUGGGCCAGCUUCUAUACGCUCUGAGAAAAUGUUCACGCUACAGUAUACUGUAGGCCUAUCCUACCAAAACAAAAGUCCCUGUUCCAUUCAAU